rnacentral:rRNA from 1 species
GAUGAACGCUAGCGGCAGGCCUAAUACAUGCAAGUCGAACGGUGUCUUCGGACAUAGUGGCGCACGGGUGCGUAACACGUAUGCAACCUACCUUACAUUGGGGGAUAGCCUUUCGAAAGGGAGAUUAAUACCGCAUAAGACAGUAGCUGGGCAUCCAGCAGCUGUUAAAGAUUUAUCGAUGUAAGCUGGGCAUGCGUCCAAUUAGCUAGUUGGUGAGGUAAUGGCUCACCAAGGCUAUGAUUGGUAGGGGAACUGAGAGGUCAAUCCCCCACACUGGCACUGAGAUACGGGCCAGACUCCUACGGGAGGCAGCAGUAGGGAAUAUUGGGCAAUGGACGCAAGUCUGACCCAGCCAAGUAGCGUGCAGGAUGACGGCCCUAUGGGUUGUAAACUGCUUUUAUAAGGGAUAAAGUGAGCCUCGUGAGGCUUUUUGCAUGUACCUUAUGAAUAAGGACCGGCGUAAUUCCGUG